rnacentral:rRNA from 1 species
UACGGAGGGUGCGAGCGUUGUCCGGAAUCACUGGGCGUAAAGGGCGCGUAGGCGGCCUGAUAAGUAGGGGGGUGAAAUCCUGCGGCUUAACCGCAGGGCUGCCUUCUAAACUGUCAGGCUAGAGCACGGUAGAGGCAGAUGGAAUUCCCGGUGUAGCGGUGGAAUGCGUAGAGAUCGGGAAGAACAUCAGUGGCGAAGGCGGCCUGCUGGGCUGUUGCUGACGCUGAGGCGCGACAGCGUGGGGAGCGAACAGG